rnacentral:lncRNA from 10 species
GAAGAUCCUGCCCUAAGGAGCAAGUGUGCGGAGGCCACCUGGCCUUCACUGGUUCCUGCACUGAAUGUUUCCUUCUCACCUGCUGAGUACCAGGUGUUACCCCAGGGAUGGCAGAAGGACUGAGGACCUGGGGAGGAGAGAGGAGGAAACUGGAGGACUGUGAACGUGGCCACGUCUUUUCCAAUGGAGAGAAAACUCAAUCGGAUCUGGGCACUCCCUACAUUUCUCCACCUCCUGCCGCCCCCGUGAGCCACUGCAGGGAGAUUUUUCUGAAUAAUGGAACAUUUUCCUGUUUUAAUCAGAUGCAAUUUUGCAAGCAGUUUUUAUGAUUUAGCAAGUCCAUUAAAACUGGCAUUUGUUCUGCUCUGACACUCGAAAGGGGCUCCACAGAGCAUAAACAUUGGAAAUUACUUGUAGGGAGAGACAAUAUUAAAAUUCCCCAGCCUGGGCCUGUUGUUUGAGAAAUUCUGUUAUCAAGCAUCAUGCCAGCUACGAUCAGAGGUGCUUGAGAUAUAUGCUGCUUCCUCUUUACGCACUAACUGGGGGCCUGGGAACUCAGGCAGCAAUAAAGUCGC